GAUGAACGCUGGCGGCGUGCCUAAUACAUGCAAGUCGAGCGAACAGACGAGGAGCUUGCUCCUCUGACGUUAGCGGCGGACGGGUGAGUAACACGUGGAUAACCUACCUAUAAGACUGGGAUAACUUCGGGAAACCGGAGCUAAUACCGGAUAAUAUAUUGAACCGCAUGGUUCAAUAGUGAAAGACGGUUUUGCUGUCACUUAUAGAUGGAUCCGCGCCGCAUUAGCUAGUUGGUAAGGUAACGGCUUACCAAGGCAACGAUGCGUAGCCGACCUGAGAGGGUGAUCGGCCACACUGGAACUGAGACAUGGUCCAGACUCCUACGGGAGGCAGCAGUAGGGAAUCUUCCGCAAUGGGCGAAAGCUUGACGGAGCAACGCCGCGUGAGUGAUGAAGGUCUUCGGAUCGUAAAACUCUGUUAUUAGGGAAGAACAAAUGUGUAAGUAACUAUGCACGUCUUGACGGUACCUAAUCAGAAAGCCACGGCUAACUACGUGC
rnacentral:rRNA from 1 species